ensembl:lncRNA
UAAGAACUGACCAAAAGUCACAUAUAUAUUUCAGUAUUUAAGCACAACUAUGUAUACACAUACAGCCUACCUUUCAGCUGCAGAUGGAGCUGGACCAGGAGGUGAAGGAAUGCAUGAUCCCUCCCUGCGUCUCUGGGGAAAGUUCUGGAAGACAACUUUCUCCAGAAUGAUUUUUGUGGUUUAAAGACAGCCGCACCAUCCUGACAGACUUCCUCUUCUCAUUGAUAAUGUCUAGGGGAGGACUGAGUGUGGCUUUUGUUCUGCCGUGAGGUGACAAAUCCUUCCCCACAUAGCGCUGAGGACGCUGCAGUUUGUGGCGGGAAAAUGUUCAGUCCCACACCUGCACGUGUGGCAAUCAGACGGAGGUGAACUACAUGAGAAGCAUCAAAAAGCAUCAAAAAGGAGGAUUUUCCUGCCCAAAACCACUUCAGAAAAUACCCUAGCUGUUAGAUUUCCAAAUCUGCACAGGUAAGGCUAGGCACUGUGCAGUCAGUCCAGGGGAGCAGGACGGCCUCCGUGUUGGGCGCCAUUUUGUCAGCAUCCCUCUGCCAGAGCUGCUCCCGGAAGGGACUGCAUGGAAACCGGAUCUUAGAGCAACAUCGAUCUGCACUUGUCACACUUGAGUUGCUGGUUGUCUGCGAUGUCAGAGCGUACCACCGUAUGCAUCAAGGGCACGGGAAGAGGCUACGUCGUCCUGUUGCCAUAGGUGUGAAGCCGCCUCCAGAGCUUCACGUCGGAUGGCAUCUGCUACCCCCGGCAUUAACCGGCUCUGACAGCGCCCAUCGAGAAGGUGCAACCCUUCAAAUACUUGGUUUUAAUAAAUGCACUUUCACCCAUCUUUAAAGGGUUUAUUUAUAACAAAAAACAGAUCUGUUUUUCCUAAUUUCAUUUGAAACUAAGAGGCUGGUGCAAGGAUUUUCAGUGGGAGUUCUGCUUCGGUUAAGACUGAAGGAACCAAGCCCAGCUUUCGCCAAGGAAAGAUGCUGCUCCUUCAAAACAAAAGCCACUAAGAGACAUAGCAGCGCUCUGCCCAGUGUUUGAAGACCCUCAUAGUGAUAAUAUUAACGACAUUUAGUUUUACUAACCUGAAUUUACACUGGCCCUGAAAAUGCCCAAGUUCUCCCAGCUGCGCUGCCCUUUUAAAGGCUCUAUCAUUAUUAGCUUGUUACAGUCGAGUGAUGGCAAAGCCCUAAUUCCUGUUCCUACUGUUCUGUCAUCUUUAGAAGAAAAAGGACAGAAAGCCUACAGAAGCCCAUAAAAUACCAUUUACUCAAGAGAUGGUUGGUUUCUUCCUAGCAGUCACUACCCAUCUUCCAUACAAGAUAAGAACCUUCAUGUAAUACUUCUGGAAAACGCAGCAUUUCUGUGCACAGUAACUACCUUUGAUGUUCCUAUUCCUAUAAAAGCUUGCAUCACUUUCUCCUUUCCAUAAGAUGGAGAAGUCCAGGUGCCAUUCCGUGCAUCAGUACAAGAAUAUGAUAUGGCACUGAAGCCUGUAUAUUUAAUUUCAGACUUAACCAACUAUGACAUGAAACAGCAAAUAAAACCAAAAAAGAAAAGAGUCA